CCCUUAGAUGUUCUGGGCCGCACGCGCGCUACACUGAUGCAUUCAACGAGUCCAACCUUGACCGAGAGGUCCGGGUAAUCUUUGAAACUGCAUCGUGAUGGGGCUAGAUUAUUGCAAUUAUUAAUCUUCAACGAGGAAUGCCUAGUAAGCGUGAUUCAUCAAAUCGCGUUGAUUACGUCCCUGCCCUUUGUACACACCGCCCGUCGCUCCUACCGAUUGAGUGUGUUGGUGAGGAGUUUGGAUUGGCCUCGGAAGGUGGUUCGCCACCGUCCGUAGCUGAGAAGUUCUCCAAACCGCCCCACUUAGAGGAAGGAGAAGUCGUAAC
rnacentral:rRNA from 1 species